rnacentral:rRNA from 1 species
UAAGACCAAAGUGCAACUAAGCCGUCAUAAGCCUAAGAUGCAUCUAAGACCCCCAUAUGAUCUUAGCAUAAUGAUGAACUGACCCCCACGAAAGCCAAGGCACAAACUGGGAUUAGAUACCCCACUAUGCUUGGCCCUAAAUCUAGAUGCUUCUUCCACCAAAGCAUCCGCCCGAGAACUACGAGCACAAACGCUUAAAACUCUAAGGACUUGGCGGUGCCCCAAACCCACCUAGAGGAGCCUGUUCUGUAAUCGAUAAUCCACGUUACACCCGACCUCUCCUUGCUAAAACAGCCUACAUACCGCCGUCGUCAGCUCACCUUCACUGAAAGAAUAAUAGUGAGCUCAAUAGCCCUACCGCUAACAAGACAGGUCGAGGUAUAGCUUAUGGAGAGGAAGAAAUGGGCUACAUUUUCUAWGAUAGAACAGUCACGGAAAGGGGCUGUGAAAUCACCCCUAGAAGGCGGAUUUAGCAGUAAAGCGGAACAAUGUAAGUCCACUUUAAACCGGCCCUGGGGCACGUACAUACCGCCCGUCACCCUCC